rnacentral:rRNA from 1 species
CGCUGGCGGCGUGCCUAACACAUGCAAGUCGAGCGGGACAUGCGACGGAGACGAAGUACUCGUACGGAGUCAAAGAUGUAAUGUUCUAGCGGCGGACGGGUGAGUAACGCGUGAGCAACCUGUCCCUUACAGGGGGAUAACACAGCGAAAGUUGUACUAAUACCGCAUGAGACCACAGCAUCACAUGGUGCAGGGGUCAAAGGAGCAAUCCGGUAAGGGGUGGGCUCGCGUCCGAUUAGAUAGUUGGUGAGGUAACGGCCCACCAAGUCGACGAUCGGUAGCCGACCUGAGAGGGUGAUCGGCCACAUUGGGACUGAGACACGGCCCAAACUCCUACGGGAGGCAGCAGUGGGGAAUAUUGGGCAAUGGGGGGAAACCCUGACCCAGCAACGCCGCGUGAGGGAAGAAGGUUUUCGGAUCGUAAACCUCUGUCCCAGGUGAAGAGGAAGAGACGGUAGCCUGGGAGGAAGCCCCGGCUAACUACGUGCCAGCCGCGGC